GCCAAAAACCUAGCCCAACAUUUUCUUAUGAAACCCCCCCCCCCCGUUUUCUUUAUACUAAAACAUUCUAUCAUUCUAGUAAAGGAGAUUGAAAAAAUUCCUGGAGCUACAGAUUAAGUACCGCAAGGGAAAGAUGAAAUAGAAAUUAAACAAUACUUAAGCAUAAAAAAGUAGAGAUUUCCCCUCGUACCUUUUGCAUCAUGGUUUAACUAGUCUAAUCAAGCGAAAAGAAUUACAGUUUGACUCCCCGAAACCAGGCGAGCUACUUCAGGGCAGCUUUAUGAGCCAACCCGUCUCUGUUGCAAAAGAGUGGGACGACCUUCAAGUAGCGGUGACAGACCUAACGAGCCUGGUGAUAGCUGGUUACUCAGGAAAAGGGUUUAAGCCCUACCUAAUGCCUAUCUAGUAUAUUUAAACUAACAUAGGGCCUUAGAGUUAUUCAAAUAAGGUACAGCCUAUUUGAAACAGGAUACAACCUCAACUGGCGGGUAAAAUACACCACACUCUUCUCCUAGUUGGCCUAAAAGCAGCCACCUUAUCUAAAGCGUCACAGCUAAGCCGAGAGAAACUUUUAAUUCCUCUGAUUUCUUUUAACCCCCUUCCAGUACUGAGUAAUUCUAUAUAUUUAUAGAAGCUUUUAUGUUAAAACUAGUAACAAGAAGAUCGCCCUUCUCUUAAGUGCAAACAUAAGUCAAAAAGGACAAACCAGUGACAAUUAACGCCUCAUGAGACCCAAUUAGCAACUUUCUACAAGAAAAUCCUAAUACACCCAACGUUAACCUAACACAAGAGCACUUCAAGAAAGAUUAUAAGAAAAAGAAGGAACUCGGCAAAUAUUAGCCCCGCCUGUUUACCAAAAACAUCGCCUCUUGAUUAAAAAUAAGAGGUCCAGCCUGCCCAGUGACACUAGUUCAACGGCCGCGGUAUCCUAACCGUGCGAAGGUAGCGUAAUCACUUGUUCUUUAAAUGAGGACUAGUAUGAAUGGCAUCACGAGGGCUAUACUGUCUCCUUUUUCUAAUCAGUGAAACUAAUCUUCCCGUGAAGAAGCGGGAAUUCACCUAUAAGACGAGAAGACCCUAUGGAGCUUUAAAUUUUUCUUCAACUGCCCUACUCCUUCUAAAGUUUACACUUUUCACAACAACUUCGGCAUUAUGAGGAUAAAUUUUAGGUUGGGGUGACCGCGGAGCAUAGUAAAACCUCCACACUGAACCGAGCCUAUAAACUCUGAGCAAAGGACAACAACCCAAUGCACUAACAUAUUAACAUUCAUUGACCCAAUAAUUUUGAUCAACGAACCAAGUUACCCUAGGGAUAACAGCGCAAUCUGCUUCAAGAGUUCAUAUCGACAAGCAGGCUUACGACCUCGAUGUUGGAUCAGGGUAUCCCAGUGGUGCAGCCGCUACUAAUGGUUCGUUUGUUCAACGAUUAAAACCCU
rnacentral:rRNA from 1 species